AAACUAAUCUUACUUGUUUAACCUUUUGCCCCUCAGUGAUGACGACAGCAGCAGAACCGAUGGGUCCAGACUCUGCAGUUAUCACAGUAGUGAUAGUCCUCAUCCUGCUGACGGUAGCAGCUUUGGCCUUCCUGCUUUACCGGUAUCUCUGCCAUAACAAAGGAGACUACAGGACGACGGGGGAGCUGGCUCCAGGAGAGGACCCUGACGAGGAUCACAGCAACCAGGCUGUGAGCGAAAAGAAGGAAUAUUUCAUAUAAACCCGGUGAAGAUUUCCAAAAGAGCCCCAAAAAAAAGAAUUGGAAAAAGUCUGCAGAGGACUGAGAAGAACUAGAUGGUUUUUUUUCCCCGUUUGUGUGUUUUUGUUUUUAUGAAGGCUGCAGAGAGAAAACCUUGUUGAGGAGUUUUGUCCUGACAGACGCUGAGGCGCACAAGAAGCUAUACCAAAGAUUGUUCUAGAUGGAGGGAAUGUAUGACGGAUGAGGAGCAGGUGGCAGGCCAACAGGUGUGUUCAUAUUAGCAGAGCGAGGCGUGAAACAGUUGGUCAGGUUUUUUUUUUAAAUGUCACUGACAUGAUCAGUAUCAAUCAGAACGUAAGACUAGCUCAUUUAUGCUACAUUAUUUAUCAGUCAUGGUUCAUUUGUUUUUCAGAUUUACUGUAUUUGACUCCAAACACAACGUCUAAAAGUUUGUUUUGGGGAAAUAGUUACUUUUUGAUAUGCUUUUAAAUGAAAGUUUUUCUAUGCAGUUCUUUUUUAUAAGCUUUUCAAAAAACAACAACGUCAUUCUUUUUCAAUGGAGAGUGGCUAAGUAUGAUUGGUUAUGAAGUUUUGUUGUUACUGGUUUUGUUUUGUAAUACUCCUCUCCAAACACUGUUACUGAUGACUUCCCUGUUUGAGAGAAAUAAGGAAGGCAAUAAACUUGUUUUUGUACCAGUGUCAUCAAA